UACAGAGGUCUCAAGCGUUGUUCGGAUUCAUUGGGCGUAAAGGGUGCGUAGGUGGUGAUGCAAGUCUGGUGUGAAAUCGUCGGAGCUCAACUCCGAAAUUGCACCGGAUACUGCGUGACUCGAGGACUGUAGAGGAGAUCGGAAUUCACGGUGAGCAGUGAAAUGCGUAGAUAUCGUGAGGAAGACCAGUUGCGAAGGCGGAUCU
rnacentral:rRNA from 1 species